GAUGAACGCUGGCGGCGUGCCUAACACAUGCAAGUCGAGCGGACGGACGCUGCUUUUGCUUGGCUCACGUUUGCGGCGGGCGGGUGAGUCACACGAGUAUACCCUCCCUGUCAGACUGAUAUCAUUUCGGGACACCGGAUAUUACACCAGAUAAGAUCUUGAACCGCAUGGUUCAUAGGAGAGAGACGGCCUUGCUGGCACUACUAGCUGGUUCUGGGCUGGAUUGGGUAGUUGGUAGGGUAACGGCCUACCAAGGCGAGGAUGCGUGGCCGACCUGAGAGGGUGAUCGGCCACACUGGAACUGAGACACGGUCCAGACUCCUACGGGAGGCAGCAGUAGGGAAUGUUGCGCAAUGGGCGAAAGCCUGACGCAGCAACGCCGCGUGUGUGAUGAAGGUCUUCGGAUCGUAAAGCUCUGUUAUUAGGGAAGAACAGCUGUGUAAUGAAACGUAGCCAUCUUGACGGUACCUAGUAAAGAAGCACCGGCUAACUACGUG
rnacentral:rRNA from 1 species